rnacentral:rRNA from 1 species
AGUGAACGCUGGCGGUAGGCCUAACACAUGCAAGUCGAACGGCAGCACAGUAAGAGCUUGCUCUUACGGGUGGCGAGUGGCGGACGGGUGAGGAAUACAUCGGAAUCUACUUUUUCGUGGGGGAUAACGUAGGGAAACUUACGCUAAUACCGCAUACGACCUACGGGUGAAAGCAGGGGAUCUUCGGACCUUGCGCGAUCGAAUGAGCCGAUGUCGGAUUAGCUAGUUGGCGGGGUAAAGGCCCACCAAGGCGACGAUCCGUAGCUGGUCUGAGAGGAUGAUCAGCCACACUGGAACUGAGACACGGUCCAGACUCCUACGGGAGGCAGCAGUGGGGAAUACUGGACAAUGGGCGCAAGCCUGAUCCAGCCAUACCGCGUGGGUGAAGAAGGCCUUCGGGUUGUAAAGCCCUUUUGUUGGGAAAGAAAAGCAGCAGGUUAAUACCCCGCUGUUCUGACGGUACCCAAAGAAUAAGCACCGGCUAACUUCGUG